rnacentral:rRNA from 1 species
CAAUAAGCGGAGGAAAAGAAACCAACAGGGAUUGCCUUAGUAACGGCGAGUGAAGCGGCAACAGCUCAAAUUUGAAAUCUGGCUACUUUGUAGUCCGAGUUGUAAUUUGUAGAGGAUGCUUUUGGUGAGGUGCUUUCUGAGUUCCCUGGAACGGGACGCCAGAGAGGGUGAGAGCCCCGUACAGUUAGCAACUGAUCCUUUGUAUAGCUCCUUCGACGAGUCGAGUAGUUUGGGAAUGCUGCUCUAAAUGGGAGGUAUAUCUCUUCUAAAGCUAAAUAUAGGCUAGAGACCGAUAGCGCACAAGUAGAGUGAUCGAAAGAUGAAAAGCACUUUGAAAAGAGAGUUAAACAGCACGUGAAAUUGUUGAAAGGGAAGCGCCUAUGACCAGACUUGUUUCUAUCAGUUUUGGUAGUUUUCGGACUGCUUUACUCUGUUAGUACAGGCCAACAUCAGUUUGUUGUCGGGGAGAAAGGCUUAGGGAAUGUGGCUCCCUCGGGAGUGUUAUAGACCUUUGCAUAAUACCCUUCGGCAGACUGAGGACCGCGCUUCGGCAAGGAUGUUGGCGUAAUGG